GGGGUUAUAGCUUAAUAGGCAUAGCAAUUGGUUGUCAUCCGAAAGAUACAGGUUCAAUUCCUGUUAAUCCCG
rnacentral:tRNA from 1 species